UACGAAGGGGGCUAGCGUUGUUCGGAUUUACUGGGCGUAAAGCGCACGUAAGCGGAUUGGUCAGUUAGGGGUGAAAUCCCAGAGCUCAACUCUGGAACUGCCUUUAAUACUGCCAGUCUAGAGUCCGGAAGAGGUGAGUGGAACUCCUAGUGUAGAGGUGGAAUUCGUAGAUAUUAGGAAGAACACCAGUGGCGAAGGCGGCUCACUGGUCCGGUACUGACGCUGAGGUGCGAAAGCGUGGGGAGCAAACAGG
rnacentral:rRNA from 1 species